rnacentral:rRNA from 1 species
GAUGAACGCUAGCGGCAGGCCUAACACAUGCAAGUCGCGGGGCAGCAGGGGUAGCAAUACCCGCUGGCGACCGGCGCACGGGUGCGUAACGCGUAUGCAACCUGCCCAUCCCCGGGGGAUAGCCCGCCGAAAGGGCGGAUUAAUACCCCAUAGACCCUUAGCCCCGCAUGGGGCGGAGGGUAAAGCUCCGGCGGGGAUGGAUGGGCAUGCGUGCCAUUAGCUGGACGGCGGGGUAACGGCCCACCGUGGCUACGAUGGCUAGGGGGUCUGAGAGGAUGAUCCCCCCACACUGGUACUGAGACACGGACCAGACUCCUACGGGAGGCAGCAGUGAGGAAUAUUGGACAAUGCCCGCAAGGGUGAUCCAGCCAUGCCGCGUGCAGGAAGAAGGCCCUAUGGGUCGUAAACUGCUUUUACACCGGAGAAAACCUCCCCUCGUGAGGGGAGCUGAUAGUAUGGUGAGAAUAAGCAUCGGCUAACUUCGUGCCAGCAGCCGCGGU